rnacentral:rRNA from 1 species
UACGGAGGGGGCUAGCGUUGUUCGGAAUUACUGGGCGUAAAGCGCGCGUAGGCGGACCUGCAAGUCGGGGGUGAAAGCCCGAGGCUCAACCUCGGAACUGCCUUCGAUACUGCGGGUCUCGAGUCCGGGAGAGGUGAGUGGAAUUCCUAGUGUAGAGGUGAAAUUCGUAGAUAUUAGGAAGAAACACCAGUGGCGAAGGCGGCUCACUGGCCCGGUACUGACGCUGAGGCGCGAAAGCGUGGGAGCAACAGG